rnacentral:lncRNA from 1 species
UUUUACUUUAUUUUUAAAAAGAUUUUAUUUAUUUAUUCCUGAGAGACACAGAGAGAAGGCAGAGACAUAGGCAGAGGGGGAAGCAGGCUCCUCGCAGGAAGCCCAAUGUUGGACUUGAUCCUGGGACUCUGGGACCACACCUUGGGCCAAAGGCAGACACUCAAUCACUGAGCCACCCAGGCAUCACUUUUUCUAGGUUUUAAAGUAGAAACUGAGGUAACUAUUUGUCACAUUUCUUCCUUUUUAGUAUAAGCAUUUAACUUUCUUCAAAACACCACUUUAACUUCAUAAUAUGAGUUUUGAUGCUAUUUUUUGUUAUCAUUCAGUUCAAAGUAUUUUGUAAUUUUUUUAUUCUAAAUGUAUUGUAUUAUUUAUAAAUAUUUGGGAAUUAAAAACACUUUCAAUUAUUUUUUUAAUAAAUUUAUUUUCUAUUGGUGUUCAAUUUGCCAACAUAUAGAAUAACUUUCAGUAUUGAUAUCUAGUUUAAUUUACUUUUGGUCAUAAAAUUAAAAUUACUAACUAUAUUAAUGCCAGAGUAACAAUACCUAUAUUAGACAAACUAGAUCUUAAACCAAAGACUAUAACAAGAAAUGAAGAAGGGCACUAUAUCAUAAUAAAAGGGAUGAUCCAACAAGAGGAUCUAAUAAUUAUAAAUAUUUAUGCCCCCAACAUGGGAGCACUCAAAUAUAUAAAACAAUUAAGAAUAAACAUAAAGGAACUAACUGAUAAUAAUACAAUAAUAGUGGGGACACCCCACUUAUAUUAAUAGAUCAUCUAAGCAGAAAGUCAACAAGGAAACAAUGGCUUUGAAUGACACACUGGACCACAUGGACUCAACAUAUAUAUUCAUAACAUUCCAUCCUAAAGAAGCAGAAUACACAUUCUCUUCAAAUACAUAUGGAACAUACUAGGUAACAUACUAAGUCACAAAUCAGGCCUCAUCAGGUACAAAAAGAUUAAUAUCAUACUAUGCAUAUUUUCCAAUCAUAACACUAUAAAACUUGAAGUCAACAACAAGAAAAACUUUGGAAAGACCAUAAAUACACUACUGAACAAUGAAUGGUUCAACCAGGAAAUCAAAGAAGAAAUUUAAAAAUACAUGGAAACAAAUGAAAAUGAAAACACAGCAGUUCAAAAUCUUUGAGAUGCAGCAAAAGCCAUAAGAGGGAAGAAUAUAGCAAUACAGGCCUACUUCAAGAAGCAAGAAAAAUCUCAAAUAAACAACGUAACCUUGCACCUAAAGAAGCUAGAAAAAAAAGCCUAAAGCCAGCAGAGGAAGGGAAAUAAUAAAAGUUAAAGCUGAAAUAAAUGAUAUAGAAACUAAAAAAUAAUGGAACAGAUCAACGAAACCAGGAGCUGGUUCUUUGAAAAUAACAUUGACAAACCUUCAGCCAAACUUCUCAAAAAGAAAAGACAAAUGACCCAAAUAAAAAAAGUCACAAAUGAAAGAGGAGAAAUCAAAACCAACACCACAGAAAUACAAUUACAAGAGAAUAUUAUAAUAAACUACAUGCCAACAGCAGAUUGGACAAUAUUGCAGAAAUGAAUAAAUUCUUAGAAAUAUAUAAACACCAAAACAGAAAGAAAUAGAAAAUUUGAACCAAAAAUCUCCCAAUCAACAAAAGUCCAGAGCCAGAUGGCUUCAUGAGUAAAUUCUACCAAACAAUUAAAGAGCAGCUUAUAUCUAUUCCUCUCAAACUAUUCCAAAAAAUAGAAAUGGAAGGAAAGCUUCCAAAUUCAUUCUAUGAGGUCAACGUUAUCCUGAUACCAAAAUGAGACAAAGACUGCACUAAAAAAGAAAACCACAAGUCAAUAUCCCUGAUGAACAUAAACACAAAAAUUCUCAAUAAAAUGCUAUCAAAUCAACUUCAACAGUACAUUAUAAGACUCAUUCACCACAAUCAAGUAGGAUUUAUACUUUGGAUCCAAGGGUGGGUCAAUAUUUGCAAAUUAAUCAAUGUGAUAUACCACAUUAAUGAAGGAUUAGAACCAUACAAUCCUUUCAAUAGAUUCAGAAAAAGCAUUUGACCAAGUAUAACAUCUAUUUGUGACAAAAACCCUCAUCAAAGUAGAGUUAGAAGGAGCAUGCCCCAAGAUAAUAAAGGCCAUAUAUGAAAAAGCCACAGCUAAUAUCAUCCUCAAAAAGGAAAAACUGAGAGCUUUUCCUCUAUAGUCAGGACAAGACAGGGAUGUCCACUCUCAUCGUGACUGUGUAACAAAGUACUAGAAGUCUUAGCUGCAGCAAUUAGAUAACAAAAAGAAAUAAAAGGCACACAAAUCAUCAAGGGAAGGGGAAGGAAACAAUAUUCAAACUUUCAUGGGUAUUUGCUAGACUGAUGACACAAUACUCUGUCGAAACGAAGGACCCCUGAAAGACUCCAGCUCCCCCGAAAAAAAAAAAAAAAAAACAAACGUUGUUAUAAAAUAAUACCUAAAUUCAGCGUAAUUCAGCAAACUGACAGGAUAUAAAACCGAUGCAUAGAAGUCUGUUGUAUUUCCAUACGCCAAUAAUGAAGCAGCAGAAAGAGAAAUCAAGGAAUCUAUCCCAUUUACACUUGCACCAAAAACAAUACACUUAGGAAUACACCGAACUAAAGAGUUUGUAAAAGACCUGUACUCUGAAAAUUAUAAAAACACUGAUGACGGACACAAAGAAAAGAAAAUUGAAGAGGACACAAAGAAAUGGGGAAAAAAUUCCAUACUCAUGGAUUGAAAGAACAAAUAUGUUAAAAUAUCUAUGCUAUCCAAAGCAAUCUACACAUUUAAUGCAACCCCUAUAUUCAUACCAAUAGCAUUUUUCACAGAGCUAGAACAAACAAUCCUAAAUUUGUGUGGAACCAUAAAAGACUCAGAUAACCAAAGCAAUCUUAAAAGAAAGCAAAGCAAAGCUAAAGGCAUCACAAUUCUGGACUUCAAAUUAUAUUAUUAUAAAGCUGUAGUGAUCAAGACAGUAUAGUACUGGUACAAAACCAGGCACAACUGAACAAAAAAGAAAUCCCAGAAAUGAGCCCACAACUAUAUGGUCAAUUAAUCUUUGAUAAAGUAGGAAAGAGUAUCUAAUGGAAAAAUGACAAUCUCUUCAACAAAUAGUGUUGGGAAAACUAGACGGCCACAUGCAGAAGAAUGAAACUGGGCCACUUUCUUACACCAUACACAAAAAUAAAUUCAAAAUGGAUUAAAGAUAUAAAUAUGAGGUGGGAAACCAUUAAAAUCCUAGAGGAGAAUGUAGACAGUAACUUCUUUGACCUUGGCCAUAGCAACUUCUUUCUAGAUGAGUCUCCUGAGGCAAGGGAAACAAAAACAAAAAUAAACCAUUGAGACAUCAUCAAAAUAAAAAGCUUCUGCACAGCGGAGGAAACAUCAACAAAACUAAAAGGCAGACUACAGAUUGGGAGAAGAUAUUUGCAAAUGACAUAUCUGAUAAAGGGUUAGUAUCCAAAAUACAAAAAGAACUUAUAAAACUCAACACCCAAAAAACAAACAAUCCAGUUAAAAAAUGGGCAGAAGAUAUGACUAGACAUUUCUUCAAAGAUGUACAAAUGGCCAAUAGACACAUGAAAAAGUGCCCAACAUCACUGACCAUCAGGGAAAUACAAAUCAAAACUACAAUGAGAUAUCAUCUCACACCAAUCAGAAGAGCUAAAAUUAAUGACACAGGGACCAACGGAUGUUACUGAGGAUUCAGGGGAAGGGGAAUUUUCUCACCCUGUUGGUGGGAGUGCAAAUUGGUGCAGCCACUUUGGAAAAGAGUAUGGCAGUUCCUCAAAAAGUUAAAAAUAGAAUUACUCUAUGAUCCAGCAAUUGUGCUACUUAGGUAUUUAUCCAAAGGAUAUAAAAAUAUUAAUAUAAAGGGAAUACAUGCACUUCUAUGUUUAUAGUAGCAUUAUCAACAACAACAGCCAAAAUUAUGGGAAAGGAGCCCAAAAAAUGUUUUCAAUCAAUUGAUGAAAAUGAAUGGAUAAUAAAAAGAAAUGUUUUGAUGUAUAUAUACAAUGGAAUAUUACUCAGCCAUCAAAUUACUCUUGUCAUUUGCAACAAUGUAGAUGGAACUGAAGUGUAUUAAGCUAAGUGAAAGAAGUCAAAGAAAGACAAAUACCAUAUGGUUUCACUCAUAUGUGGAAUUUAAGAAACAAAACAGAUGAACAUAGAGGGGAAAACAGGAAAAGCAAGAAACAGACUCUUAAAUAUAGAGAACAAACUGAUGGUUACUAGAAGGGAGCUGGGCAGGGGGAUAGGUGAAAUAGGUGAUGGGGAUUAAGGAGGGUACUUGUGAUGAGCACUGGGUAUUAUAUGUUAAGUGCUGAAUCAGUGAAUUCCAUACCUGAAACUAAUAUAACACUAUAUGUUAACUAACUGGAAUUUAAGUAAAAACUUGGAAGAAAAUAAAUACGUAAAAUUACUAACUACAUUAAUUAUAAAUUAUUAAAAAUUCAGUCCUUUUUGUUUACUUAACCUUUAAUGGUUCAGCAUAUAUCUGGGUGAAAGAAAAAAAAGUGUUUCAUAUGAACUUGAAGGAGCAUGCAUUAUUCUUUUUUGAGUUCCUUUAGAAAUCAAGUUGGUUGACAGUAGUGUUCAGGUCAUCUCUGUCUUCUGACAGAGAUGGUAGGUUCUUUAAAUUCUGUCAGUUUUUGCUAUAUCUAUCUGAGGUAAUUUUCCCUAUUUCAAAAUCUACUUAGUCUGAUAUUAAUAAAGCCAUUCCAGCUUUCUUAUGUUUACACAUAUUCUGAGUAAAUAGUGUAUCUUUUUUCAUUCUUUUUACUUUCAUCUAUCUGAUUUUCUUGUACAUGUCAUAUAGGUCUAUUUUUGUGCAUAAUAAUCUCUGCCUUUUAAAAUGGUAUGUUUAUAUAAUUUAUAGUUAAAAUAGUUAUCAGUAUGAUUGUUGCUUUUAAAUCUACCAUUUGCAACUCAUGUGCUAAUUGCUCAUCUGCAGUUUGUCCAAUGUUCCUCUUUUCUUGGUUCUUUAUAAUUAUUUAUGUACAUUUUAAGAUUCCAUUUUAUAUUCACCAUUGAUUUAUUUUAUAUUUUGUUGAAUAGUCAUGGGUUUAUAUUAAGCUUCUGUACCUUAAUAGAGUCUAUUUUCAAAUAAUAUUAUACUACUUUAUGUGGUACACUUGCAAAAAUAUGCUUUUUAGACAGAAGCACAUAAAUAUAAUAGAUAAUAGUCUGCCCUUGAGAGACUUAUUAAAGAGAUGUGCACUGACCCUGGUGGGCGUGGUGCCUUAGGGUAGGGAACUCCAGGUUCAGGGGUACUAAGAGAAUGGUCUAGAUUAAAGAUCCUCUUGACCUUGCAGACUUUCACCUGCUGGAAAGGGCAAUAGCUAGAAGUCGACUGCAGCAAUGUCUUCUAAGUUUCAAGGCCCAGGGUCUACGGGCAAUAUUAUCUCUUAAUAUUGACUAUGCUCUUCAGCGUUAUGUCCUCAGGCAUUAGUUAGUCUCUUGAUCAGAGCUUCUAAUUUGAGAUAGAUUGGGAAAUAAUUUCUUUCAGAAUUAAACUCAAAGUACAAAAAAAAACUCAGAUUGGGUGGAAAAAAGAAAAAAAAAGGAAGUUUUUAAAAAUCAAGAAAAUUUUAGACAAAGUGGUGAAAGUAAUUGAAUUUUCACUGAUUGACA